rnacentral:misc_RNA from 1 species
AAGUCGUAACAAGGUUUCCGUAGGUGAACCUGCGGAAGGAUCAUUAAUAAUGAAGCCGGGCAACCGGUCCUUCUAACCCUUGAUUAUCUUAAUUUGUUGCUUUGGUGGGCCGCGCAAGCACCGGCUUAGGCUGGAUCGUGCCCGCCAGAGGACCCCAACUCUGUAUCAAAUAUUGUCUGAGUACUAUAAAAUAGUUAAAACUUUCAACAACGGAUCUCUUGGUUCUGGA